GUCCUCGCCCUAAACGAUGUACACUAGAUGUAGCUUUUCUUAACGAAGUUGUGUCGAAGCUAACGCGUUAAGUGUACCGCCUGGGGAGUACGUUCGCAAGGAUGAAACUCAAAAGAAUUGACGGGGGCCCGAACAAGCAGUGGAGCAUGUGGUUUAAUUUGAUGCAACGCGAAUAAUCUUACCUGGGUUUGACAUGCAGUAGACAGUCUAAGAAAUUAGAUCUUCCGCAAGGACUGCUGCACAGGUGCUGCAUGGCU
rnacentral:rRNA from 1 species